AGAAAAAUCAACAAAAUUGACAUUAUUGUAGUUCCGAAAAGGGUCUACAAAAGACCAAAACUAAAACGGAACUGGAUGGAGACACCACUGCACGGGAGUUCAGUCCUUCCUCCGCAAUCUACCGACUGGCAUUACGUGCAUGGCAUUCUCAACAAAAAAGAAAAAAAAGAAAAGAAAAAGCAUUACCAUCACGUCAAUCACCGCUAUAAUACGAACAGAGAGUUUCACUAGUUUCACUCGAAAAGGGGUUUCUCGUUCUGGAGCAGAAGAAAAUUUUGAUCGUAAUCUAGGAGCCCUAAGAACCCAAAACAAAACGAAACCAUAACCCUAACCCUGAUUUCGAUCACACCAAUCGCGAAUCCAUGGACAGUUGUGGAACCGAAUCUUCUGCGGUUGUGUGCGGCAAGAGAUCUUUCUCCGAAGACCUCCCUUCUCCGCCGCAAUCGGUAUCAUCGCCUCCUCUCUGGAAGAGGCUCCGGUGCUCUUCUUCCACCGCUCUGCAACAACAUCAACAGAUACUGAAGCAGCAACAACAACAGGCGUUGAUGCAACAAACUCUUUACCACCUUGGUCUUUUAGCUCCCCCUUCCGAGGUUCGUUAUUUUUUUGUCUAAGUACUUGAGUUAUAUUUGAAUUCAUUUUUUACUAUGUGUUUUCUUGUGGAUUAAAAGUUGUAUUGGCUUUCAUCUGUUGUUUGUUGGUGUGUUUCAAUUGAUAAAUCUACUGUCUUGAUAUUACUUCCGAUGGAGCUUAUCCCUUUAUCGUUAUAUGUGUUUGAUUUUUUCUUUUCUAUUAACCCUAGAUGUUCCCCCUCCUUACAUCAUCUCCAUAUCUCUCCCUCUGAGCAGCAAUGGGUGUGAUGUAGCGAACUCUCUACCACCCUGGUCUUUUAGCUCCCCUUCCCCAGCUGUCUGUGAUGAUGAAGCAGUGGCAGCAACUGAAACAUCAACCGGCGUUGAUGCAGUGAACUCUCUACCAUCCUGGUCUUUUAGCUCCCCCUCCCCAGCCUCUUGAGAGAGCUCUAGAUGAGUGUGGCAAUGAUUUAGAUGCUGCUAUCAAGAGCCUGCAUGAGCUUUCUCUUAAAUAUGCCAAGGGAAACUCAGAGACUGCUGAGGAAUCAAAAUCAAACAUGGGGAAAGGUACAGCAACCACUGAUGGAGAUGCAGCUCCUCCAGCGAAUCCUUCAGCCCAGAACGAUGUUCCACUGAAUGGUGCAGAAUGGGUGGAAUUGUUUGUGACAGAAAUGAUGAAUGCUACUAGCAUAGAUGAUGCUAGAUCUCGUGCCACAAGAGUCUUCUGAAAGUUUAGAGAAGUCUAUUAGUGUACGUGCUGGUGCUGAGGCCACACAGCGUUAUCACAAGGAGAAUGUGAUGCUCAGGGAACAAAUUGAAGUACUGCUCCGGGGGAACACCAUUCGAAAACGUGCUGUGCCUAUCCAGCAUGAACGUCAGAAGGAGUACGACGAUAGGAACCAAGAGGUGCAAGUGUGCAACAUCUGAAGCAGUUGGUAUCGGAACUUUAUCUACUCAAUUCUUGUUUUGUCUAAAAGAAUCACCACCAAAGGAUUUGCAACACGUCCUAAUGUGCUGUAUGCCUGUAUCCAUGGAAAACCUUUUUUACCGAGAUUAAACUACAAGUAUCUUUCCCCGCCAGUCUUGUGGAUCACAUGGUUCAGUAGAAAUUGCGAGGAAAGGAGCGUGAAUACAUUCCAGUUACUUGGAUAAGCAAAAUAAAAGAUAUUUGAGAGAAAAAGAAAUUGCAAUGUACAGCAUAUUUAUUACAUUAAAAUGUUUUGCAUUUUUUGUCACCGUUUCUUCCCUUCCCCUUUUUCAGGAGAGGAUUGGAAACACAUGUUUGUGUGCUAACAGUUCUCUUUCUGGUUCAUGGUAUAUGGUUGCAGGUGAACAAUUACGCUCUUACAAUCCAUUUGCAGCAAGCUCAGCACAGCAACUCUAUCCCUGGACGCUUCAACCCCGAUGUCUAAUAAAAUAUUACUGUGAUGCCGCAACAAAACAAGCUUUGUUAAGGAUCGUGUUCUGGCAUCUUAAUUUGGAAUCGUGUGGCAAUUACUUUGAUGUUUCGUUUUGAAUGGUUGCUGCAAGAUUGUAACUAGGGGUUGUUAAGUUAUGAUGUGUAUGCUUCGGCCCUCGAUCUGCCCAUUUCACAGACUUGAUGGGCUGUUCUCAAGUAGGUUAGACCUCGAUCGUUGUUAUGGUUAAUCCGAAAAGUAGUCUUUAAGGUGUAUAAUGUAUGUUACUUUGUUUUUAUCUGUAUAGAUUUUUUGCUGUUGCUUCCUCCAUCUA